UGAAAAAGGCAGACCAACAAAAUAUAUUAGAUGCUUUCAACAAACGUGAGUCUGGGACUCCCAAAUCACCAGUUGGCAGCCAAGCGGUCCAGCUGCCCGAGAUAGCAGUGGCUCCUGUGCCUCCUCCUAUGGCCAAUACACCUUCAACUGGAGUUAUAGCAUCAAGAGAGGAUGUGCUUACCAGAGCAGCAGCGCUUGGUAGAGGUGCCGCCACUACAGGAUUCAAGCAUUUUCUUGCUUUGACAGAAGCAGCUAAAGACCGAAAGGAUGGCCCUUUCCGGAAACUUUUCAAUGUCAAAUGAUAACUGUGACUCUACAAAUUAUUCAAUCUAACAGCCUGCAGUUUAAGUGGUGUGGGGAAAAUUCCCGUAUGGGUAAUAAACAGAGAGUUCGAUCCAUAGGGGGUGUUGGGGUUAUCUUGUUCGCACAAUGCUAAGCUACUGUUGGAGUUAUAAACUUAGCUAGGGUAGUCGAAUAAAUACAACAGUAUGUCAACUAGGUUCCAAGGUUCAAACAAAGGAGGAUUUUGUACAAGAACAUGCAGCCCCAAGGAGUGUCUCGAUCAGCUCAGGCGGUGUUUAGUGUUUAGGUUUCUUAUUAAAUUCGAUGCAAUCAGCAUGGACAUAUUACAUCUAGCUUGAAUUCAAUAAGGUUGUAGGGGUUUUUGUUAUUCAAUAUCCUAGCUACAAUUUUGAAAUCUCAA